CCUACGGGAGGCAGCAGUGAGGAAUAUUGGUCAAUGGACGAGAGUCUGAACCAGCCAAGUAGCGUGAAGGAUGACUGCCCUAUGGGUUGUAAACUUCUUUUAUAUGGGAAUAAAAUGUUACACGUGUGGGCUUUUGUAUGUACCAUAUGAAUAAGGAUCGGCUAACUCCGUGCCAGCAGCCGCGGUAAUACGGAGGAUUCGAGCGUUAUCCGGAUUUAUUGGGUUUAAAGGGGGCGUAGGUGGUUUGUUAAGUCAGUUGUGAAAGUUUGCGGCUCAACCGUAAAAUUGCAGUUGAAACUGGCCGUCUAGAGAGCAGUUGAGGUGGGCGGAAUGCGUGGUGUAGCGGUGAAAUGCUUAGAUAUCACGAAGAACUCCGAUUGCGAAGGCAGCUCACUGGACUGCAACUGACACUGAGGCUCGAAAGUGUGGGUAUCAAACAGGAUUAGAUACCCGUGUAGUC
rnacentral:rRNA from 1 species